GCUACACCUAGAGAUAGGUGGUUCCCUUCGGGGACGCAGAGACAGGUGGUGCAUGGCUGUCGUCAGCUCGUGUCGUGAGAUGUUGGGUUAAGUCCCGCAACGAGCGCAACCCUUGUCUUUAGUUGCCAUCAUUAAGUUGGGCACUCUAAAGAGACUGCCGGUGACAAACCGGAGGAAGGUGGGGAUGACGUCAAGUCAUCAUGCCCCUUAUGACCUGGGCUACACACGUGCUACAAUGGGCAGUACAACGAGAAGCGAACCCGCGAGGGCAAGCAGAUCUCUUAAAGCUGUUCUCAGUUCGGACUGCAGGCUGCAACUCGCCUGCACGAAGCUGGAAUCGCUAGUAAUCGCGGAUCAGCACGCCGCGGUGAAUACGUUCCCGGGCCUUGUACACACCGCCCGUCACACCAUGGAAGUCUGCAAUGCCCAAAGUCGGUGGGAUAACCUUUAUAGGAGUCAGCCGCCUAAGGCAGGGCAGAUGACUGGGGUGAAGUCGUAACAAGGUAGCCGUAGGAGAACCUGCGGCUGGAUCACCUCCUUUCUAAGGAA
rnacentral:rRNA from 1 species